UAACCGACACGUGCAGAUGUGUUUCGUCUAAAAUAAAUUUUUCUUUCUCCCGCGCGUUCCGUUGUAUAUACGGACUAUUAAGAACUUACACUCAUUUCAACCUCUUAAAGAAGAUAAUCUGGCAGCCUAAUCAGCACUCAGUAAAACUGCUGAUUUUUGCUAAAAAGGAAGAAGAAGAAGUCUUUUCCUUCUUCUUCAUUGACGACGUACGUGUAACGUGUAACGUGUAAUUCUUUGCUACGUCUGUGAUACGAUUGUGAUUAUAAUCGCAGUAUUGCCAUGUAAAAAGCAUAAUAUAAAUUUAUUUUUGCAAACAAUCUACAUAGGAAAGACAUACAUACACAACUGGAAUAUUGCGUAUAGCAAGCGUUCGCACAAAAAGAACAUUAUUAUCAACUUCAUGAUCUAAUAGUUUCUGUGAAGUAAGAAAAUUGUAUACAUAUAUAUAUAUAUACAUAUAUAGAUGGGAUAUAUGCAAUAUAUGUAUAUUUAAAACGAGGAAAUAUAAAAACAAGGUGAUAUAAACUGCGGACUCAACAAAUCACAACAAAAAGUAAG